rnacentral:lncRNA from 13 species
CAGAGUUCGCCGCACAUGCUGGAUCUAGGUCCAGGUCUGCACCCAGCCUGAGUGACCGAUGGCGGCCAGGGGCGAGAGGUAUUCUCCAGGAAUCAGGAACAGACUAAAUGGAAACUCAGCGGUACCCAGCAACCCAUGAUGGCGAGCUUGGCACUCCCCACGACUCCAAAGGGUGUGCCCCAGAUGAUUCAAUGUCUUAAACUCCAGAGACUGGGGAGCUGCCACGGACUGGAGGACCCCCGAGAGGCACAAUGCUGGCCCUGUGAGACCUUGGGCACAAGAAUGGAUGUCACUGGGCUCACAGCGACAUUAGGAUGAAGCCGAGGUGAGUUCAUAGUAUCACAUCACGGGAAUUUCCUGCUGUGGAUUGUUUGGUCAUGUCAGGUGUUAAUGUCAGGGGGAGUGGCGGGGAAGGCAUAUGAG